CACUUUGCCCCCUUCGGUGACUACUACACUACCACUAUUGCUGACUGCUGCUACGUUGCUGCUCCAUUCGGCUCUUGCAUUGCUCAUCUCGCUCCGGCAGCACAAGAGCGCUUCAUUUGGAAGUGGAACGACUUAAACAACGCGCAGCACUAACUCGGAAGCCUAAAAUAUCCUUAAUUAUAUUCUAUUAGCAGACACUACACUAUCUAUCGAUAGCAGAAGCUCCGUACAUCGUGCCGUUCCAACGGAAGCAAGGCGAGUAGGCAGGGCGUCAGUGCGUGUAAUUGCUCCACAACUCUUGAAUUACAUGAAUGACCAAACUGCGCCGAGAUCAAGCCGGCGAAAGCGACUCCGUCGGGCCC